UGCCAAGUUACAAAGGGCACACGGUGGAUGCCUAGGCGCCAGAAGCCGAUGAAGGACGUAGGAGGCUGCGAUAAGCCUCGGGGAGCUGCCAACCAAGCGUUGAUCCGGGGAUGUCCGAAUGGGGAAACCCGGCACGGGUCAUGCCGUGUCACUCCGGUCUGAACACAUAGGACCGGUAGAGGUAACCCGGGAAACUGAAACAUCUCAGUACCCGGAGGAAGAGAAAGCAACCGCGAUCCCCUCAGUAGCGGCGAGCGAACGGGGGCCAGCCUAAACCGAGGUAACGUGACAGCGUGUAGGCGUUGUUGCCUCGGGGUCGCGGGACCCGACAGGGGGAGCUGCACCUCCUCCAGGGAGUUACAAAGGACGUGGGUAGUCGAAGGCCUUGGAAACGGCCGCCACAGCGGGUAACAGCCCCGUAGACGAAACUCAUCGACCCUCCCGUCGGUGCUUCCCAAGUAAGGCGGAGGACAUUCCGUCUGAAUCCGGGGGGACCACCCCCUAAGGCUAAACACUCUCUGGCGACCGAUAGCGGACUAGUACCGUGAGGGAAAGGUGAAAAGUACCCCGGGAGGGGAGUGAAAUAGUACCUGAAACCGUGUGCUUACAAACAGUCGGAGCGGUUCCUUCGGGAGCUGUGACGGCGUGCCUUUUGAAGAAUGAGCCGGCGAGUUAGCGAUACGCGGCGAGGUUAACCCGAGUGGGGGAGCCGUAGCGAAAGCGAGUCUGAAACGGGCGUUUCAGUCGCGUGUCCUAGACCCGAAGCCGAGUGAUCUAACCAUGGGCAGGGUGAAGCGAGGGUAAGACCUCGUGGAGGCCCGAACCCACCAGGGUUGAAAACCUGGGGGAUGACCUGUGGUUAGGGGUGAAAGGCCAAUCAAACUCGGUGAUAGCUGGUUCUCCCCGAAAUGCAUUUAGGUGCAGCCUUGGAUGUUUCGUGACGGAGGUAGAGCACUGGAUGGGCUAGGGGGCCUACAAGCUUACCGACCUCAGCCAAACUCCGAAUGCCGUCACGUGAGAGUCCAGGAGUGAGACUGCGGGGGAUAAGC
rnacentral:rRNA from 1 species